rnacentral:rRNA from 1 species
UACGUAGGGGGCAAGCGUUGUCCGGAAUUAUUGGGCGUAAAGCGCGCGCAGGCGGCUUACUAAGUCUGAUGUGAAAGCCCACGGCUCAACCGUGGAGGGUCAUUGGAAACUGGGGGACUUGAGUACAGAAGAGAAGAGUGGAAUUCCACGUGUAGCGGUGAAAUGCGUAGAGAUGUGGAGGAACACCAGUGGCGAAGGCGACUCUUUGGUCUGUAACUGACGCUGAGGCGCGAAAGCGUGGGGAGCAAACAGG